UUUGCCUCUAACUGUGGAAGGAUUGUCAACAGUCCCCCAUGGUGGGUUUUGUCUGGAGAGCUAUAGGACAGUGAAGCAGAUAUACAUUUUAUUUUUGCAUUAUAAUGGUUGGAUGUUUGAAAAUGAGUGCUAACCAGGUAAAGCUGUUUAUGAAGUGGAUGAGCCUGCCUUCAAAGUGUCAAGAUGAGACAGAGAAACAGAUUAGAUCCUUGAGGUUCUUCAGGAAUUACAGCUUCUCCUUCAGCCAUUCGUCUUGCUGUAGCAGAAUCCCGGGUGGUAUUCUAAUCAUCUUGGUUGUUUAUUCUAAGUAAUUAUCUGCAGGGCACUGAUACUGUGUAUUUUAUAUUUACAUUCACCCAGACAAGAACAAGAGGGGGAAGAAGUCUCAGCGACAAUUGUGGUUGCCAGUGCCAAUAAGGCCAUAUGGCUGGAACUGGAAUGAGAUAUUGUAUUUCUUACUAGUUGGGGGCAGAAAGAAAUUUCUUCCAACUCAAGAGUUGUGUUUAAAUUUUAAGAUGCUUUAUUUGCUCCGUAUUGCCUAUAGAUAUGUAGCAAAUACACUGGUGAAUGGCCUGAGUGAACGAAUACUGUUUUUCAAUUUUUGUGUUAUAAUAUAUGAAAUACGGUUGACUGGAUAUUAAUGCAAACACAUACAAAAAAAUUAAACGUCUGAAUUGAAGCACAAGUACACUGCUUAACUGAGCAGAAAAAGAAAUGUUUCAAACUUCAUUGUUAAUUCAAAAAUUAAUGUUCAAAAGUUUGAGAUUUACUUACUGCUACACAGGUGGUCUUGAUAGGGUCCUUACCAGAAGGUUUAUUCCAUGAAGAAAAACUUCAUGUUGGCAGUAUAUAACUCCAUAUUACAACUUAAUUGCAGGACUGGGUAUUUUUUUGUUUUUUUUUUUUCUUUUCUUUUUUUUGGUACAAUAUGUAUGUAUUUCUUUUCAUUUUUCAUUUAGAAAUUCAGCUGCUCCACUACUACUAAUUCAGUUUAAAAAUAGAAAACAGUAUUAAAAUGAAAGGUCUUUAUGCUGAAACUUCUGCCCACCCGGGUAAAUCCAUAAGAAAAUAAUGACAUUUUGCACUAGAGUUAUUGUUAAGUGCUUGUGUGCAUACAUUAAAUAAAUACAACCCAAGCAUUUUCCUGGCACUAAUAUCUGAUUAGCUGUUAAAAAAUAAAUGAAUAUAAAAUUUCCAGAAGCAGAGUUUGGCCUGUCUUAGCACUUGGAAGAUACAUAAACAAAUCAAGACACAAUAUGGCCAUGUUCUUUGUCAAGGAUUUAUAUAAAAGCAGCAACAACAACAACAACAACUAAACAGAAAUGAGAUCUGCACUAUUACCCUUAAGUUCCUGUGUUGUUUUUUUUUGUUGUUGUUUUUGUUUUUUUAAAUAUUCUUGUACUCUGAGCACGACUUGAACUAAAGCACUGUAAUAAAACAUAAAUAGUGCUUACACACAUUUACUGGAGGAGUCUGAAAAGCAACAAAUUAGUUGAGGUAGAUUUAUGCCUUAGGACAUGUUGUAGGAUACAAUAUCAGUGGCAGUUUAUGUACAAUGAUGAUGUGACUGCAAUGUCAAGUAAAAUAAAUGCAUAAUCUUCAGGUUUCAAUAUGUGAAGUGGCAGAAUAAUGAAAUUUGAAUACAAAUAUCUGCUACGUUUAUCUUUAUUUAUAGGCUGGUCACCAUAAAUCAGGAACAAAUAGGAGAUAAAGUGGUUAAAACAAACAAAAAAAACAGAAAUAUACCCUGAUUUAUGAACUCUGCAAAGUUUUGACUGAUACAGAACUUCUGACUAGCAAACUGCUUUAAAUUUGUCAAACUUGUGAGAAAAGAGAACUGAAGCACGGGA